AUCUCUUUUCUCAACUUUGUUGAAGGGUGUUUUUGUGUUCAGUGUCUCCUUGGUGCAGAAGGCAAGCAAACCAACAUACUUCUACCUCUCUACUGAAGAAAGAGACUUCCCUUUUCAUCUCAGGAAGCACUCCAAUCAUGGAUUGUCCAAUUGAUGAGAGAAUUGCACAAUUUCAACAUAUCACCACUUCACUGAACCUUUUUAGACCUAGAUUUCAGACUUCUGGCAAACUUUCCUUGAAGAAGAAGGAGAAGAAGGAGAAUAAGAGGAGUGUGGAAUGUGGAAUGUAAUUACUGCAAUACCCAGAAGAGCUGAAGCAUUCCUGUCUGUCUAAAGAACCAUGGGACACAGUUGCAUCAUGUUUAUAAUACAAUGCACGCAGGUGGCUUGGCAUACAUUUCUGUUACCGUAGCACACAACCCUCUAGAAAUUUGCUAACUUGAUUACAGUUGCAGUUAUACUUGGAAUCAAGCCUGUGCCUAAGUUAAUUAAAAGUGUAAAUAACUUC